CAGUAGCCACGGGAAUACAGAGGGUGCGAGCGUUAAUCGGAUUUACUGGGCGUAAAGCGUGCGUAGGCGGCUUCUUAAGUCGGAUGUGAAAUCCCUGAGCUUAACUUAGGAAUUGCAUUCGAUACUGGGAAGCUAGAGUAUGGGAGAGGAUCGUAGAAUUCCAGGUGUAGCGGUGAAAUGCGUAGAGAUCUGGAGGAAUACCGAUGGCGAAGGCAGCCAUCUGGCCUAAUACUGACGCUGAGGUACGAAAGCAUGGGGAGCAAACAGGAUUAGAUACCCCUGUAGUCCCUGUCUCUUAUAA
rnacentral:rRNA from 1 species